rnacentral:tRNA from 1 species
UCUAAUAUGGCAGAAUAGUGCAUUAGAUUUAAGCUCUAAAUAUAAAAUAAUUAAAUUUUUAUUAGAA